rnacentral:rRNA from 1 species
GACGAACGCUGGCGGCGUGCCUAAUACAUGCAAGUAGAACGCUGAAGGAGGAGCUUGCUUCUCUGGAUGAGUUGCGAACGGGUGAGUAACGCGUAGGUAACCUGCCUGGUAGCGGGGGAUAACUAUUGGAAACGAUAGCUAAUACCGCAUAAUAUUGACUAUUGCAUGAUAGUCAGUUGAAAGGUGCAACUGCACCGCUACCAGAUGGACCUGCGUUGUAUUAGCUAGUUGGUGGGGUAACGGCUCACCAAGGCGACGAUACAUAGCCGACCUGAGAGGGUGAUCGGCCACACUGGGACUGAGACACGGCCCAGACUCCUACGGGAGGCAGCAGUAGGGAAUCUUCGGCAAUGGACGGAAGUCUGACCGAGCAACGCCGCGGGAGUGAAGAAGGUUUUCGGAUCGUAAAGCUCUGUUGUAAGAGAAGAACGAGUGUGAGAGUGGAAAGCUCACACUGUGACGGUAUCUUACCAGAAAGGGACGGCUAACUACGUG